UACGAAGGGGGCUAGCGUUGCUCGGAAUCACUGGGCGUAAAGGGUGCGUAGGCGGGUUUUUAAGUCAGGGGUGAAAUCCUGGAGCUCAACUCCAGAACGGCCUUUGAUACUGAGGAUCUUGAGUUCGGGAGAGGUGAGUGGAACUGCGAGUGUAGAGGUGAAAUUCGUAGAUAUUCGCAAGAACACCAGUGGCGAAGGCGGCUCACUGGCCCGAUACUGACGCUGAGGCACGAAAGCGUGGGGAGCGAUCCGG
rnacentral:rRNA from 1 species